UAGCAUCACGUGUACUGCCCGCGUCGCAUAUCGAUAUAUUAUGUAAUUUCUGCCGUAUCGUUAUAACUAUAUCUCACUACAAUAGUCGCCGCCGCCGCAGCUGUAUAUAUGUAUAUUUUUAUCGUAAUAUAUUUUGUCAAAUACAAUAUACGUAAAUCAUUCAUUGAUUAGUCUUCAACGAUACCGGUUAAAAUGCGGAAUGCAGAUGCAUUUCUAGGCGCCGACGACUUACUACCACUGCUUGUAUGGGUGCUUAUUCAAUGCAACUUUCUUACAGCUGAAUUGAAAGAAGAGUAUACGUGGGGACUGUUGCAUCCAUCAUUGAUAUCCGGCGAGGGAGGUUACUAUCAGACUGCACUGUGCGGAGCUGUGCACGUAUUGAAAAGUUACUAGUCAUCCAUGGAAUCAAAUACUAUCAAUGGCGUGAAGACAUUAGGCUCCGACAACACAUUGAGUUAUGAUCCACUGAAUGAACUCAAAUCUGUUCUUAAAGUGAUUGUGCCCGAUGAAACCAAUGGAUCACUGCUGACCAAGAUUUUACCUGUUAGACCUUACAUGACGACAUGUGACGUGACAAAUUUUGAAAAUAUAAUUAAUAUAUUACAUAAAAUUACACAUGUUAUUAUAAACGUAAAUCACAAAAUCUUUUAUUUCUGUAACAGUGUUAUAAAGUUACUUAUAAAUA